rnacentral:rRNA from 1 species
AUUGAACGCUGGCGGCAUGCUUUACACAUGCAAGUCGAGCGGUAACAGGCCUUCGGGUGCUGACGAGUGGCGGACGGGUGAGUAAUGCAUCGGAACGUACCCAGAGGUGGGGGAUAACGCAGCGAAAGCUGUGCUAAUACCGCAUGUGAUCUGAGGUUGAAAGCGGGGGACGGGGCAGGAAUGUUUGGCCUCGCGCCUUUGGACCCGCGGAGGUCGGGGUUGCUGGUGGGUGGGGUAAAGGCCUACCAAGGCGGCGGUCCGUAGCCGGUCUGGGAGGACGGUCAGCCACACGGGGACGGAGCCACGGCCCAUACUCCUACGGGAGGCAGCAGUGGGGAAUUGUGGACAAUGGGCGCAAGCCUUAUCCAGCAAGGCCGCGCGCGGGAAGAAGGCGUUCGGUUUGUAAACCGCUUUUGGGAGGAACGAACCGGUGUCCGCUAAUACCGGGCGCUAAUGACGGUACCGGCAGAAUAAGCACCGGCUAACUACGUG